rnacentral:rRNA from 1 species
UACGGAGGGGGCUAGCAUUGUUCGGAAUUACUGGGCGUAAAGCGCACGUAGGCGGCUUUGUAAGUUAGAGGUGAAAGCCCGGGGCUCAACUCCGGAAUUGCCUUUAAGACUGCAUCGCUCGAAUUGUGGAGAGGUAAGUGGAAUUCCGAGUGUAGAGGUGAAAUUCGUAGAUAUUCGGAAGAACACCAGUGGCGAAGGCGACUUACUGGACACAUAUUGACGCUGAGGUGCGAAAGCGUGGGGAGCAAACAGG